GACCUCAAAUCAGGUAGGACUACCCGCUGAACUUAAGCAUAUCAAUAAGCGGAGGAAAAGAAACUAACAAGGAUUCCCCUAGUAACUGCGAGUGAAGCGGGAAAAGCUCAAAUUUAAAAUCUGGCAGCCUUUGGUUGUCCGAGUUGUAAUCUAGAGAAGUGUUAUCCGCGCUGGACCGUGUACAAGUCUCCUGGAAUGGAGCGUCAUAGAGGGUGAGAAUCCCGUCUUUGACACGGACUGCCAGGGCUUUGUGAUGCGCUCUCAAAGAGUCGAGUUGUUUGGGAAUGCAGCUCAAAAUGGGUGGUAAAUUCCAUCUAAAGCUAAAUAUUGGCGAGAGACCGAUAGCGAACAAGUACCGUGAGGGAAAGAUGAAAAGAACUUUGGAAAGAGAGUUAAACAGUACGUGAAAUUGCUGAAAGGGAAACGCUUGAAGUCAGUCGCAUUGUCCAGGGAUCAACCUUGCUUUUGCUUGGUGCACUUUCUGGUUGAUGGGUCAGCAUCAAUUUUGACUAUUGGAAAAAGAUUAGGGGAAUGUGGCAUCUUCGGAUGUGUUAUAACCCUUGGUUGUAUACAAUGGUNGGGAUUGAGGAACUCAGCACNCYGCAAG
rnacentral:rRNA from 1 species